rfam:Anaerostipes sp. 992a contig000001, whole genome shotgun sequence.
UGGGCUAUCGCCAAAUGGUAAGGCCCUGGAUUCUGAUUCCAGUAUCUGCAGGUUCGAAUCCUGCUAGCCCAG